CCUACGGGAGGCAGCAGUAGGGAAUCUUGCGCAAUGGGCGAAAGCCUGACGCAGCGACGCCGCGUGAGGGAUGAAUGCCUUCGGGUUGUAAACCUCUUUCAGCAGGGACGAAGCCCUUUGGGUGACGGUACCUGCAGAAGAAGCCCCGGCCAACUACGUGCCAGCAGCCGCGGUAAUACGUAGGGGGCAAGCGUUGUCCGGAUUUAUUGGGCGUAAAGAGCUCGUAGGCGGCUGUCCACGUCGGGUGUGAAAGCUCAGAGCUCAACUCUGAGAGGCCAUUCGAUACGGGACGGCUAGAGGUAGGUAGGGGAAAGUGGAAUUCCUGGUGUAGCGGUGAAAUGCGCAGAUAUCAGGAGGAACACCGGUGGCGAAGGCGGCUUUCUGGGCCUUACCUGACGCUGAGGAGCGAAAGCUGGGGGAGCGAACAGGAUUAGAUACCCUGGUAGUCCCAGCCGUAAACGUUGAGUGCUAGGUGUGGGGAGGUCUUCAACCCUCUCUGUGCCGCAGCUAACGCAUUAAGCACUCCGCCUGGGGAGUACGGCCGCAAGGCUAAAACUCAAAGGAAUUGACGGGGACCCGCACAAGCGGCGGAGCAUGUGGCUUAAUUCGAUGCAACGCGAAGAACCUUACCUGGGCUUGACAUGCUGGUUAGACCCUGUGAAAGCAGGGCUCCGUAAGGGGCCAGCACAGGUGCUGCAUGGCUGUCGUCAGCUCGUGCCGUGAGGUGUUGGCUUAAGUGCCGCAACGAGCGCAACCCCUGUCCUUAGUUGCCAGCGGGUAAUGCCGGGGACUCUAAAGAGACUGCCGGGGACAACUCGGAGGAAGGUGGGGAUGACGUCAAGUCAGCAUGGCCCUUAUGUCCAGGGCUGCACACAUGCUACAUUGCGCGCCACAAAGGGCUGCGAUCCCGCGAGGGGGAGCGAAUCCCAAAAAGCGCGUCUGGAUCGGAUUGCAGUCUGCAACUCGACUGCAUGAAGUCGGAGUCGCUAGUAAUCCCAGAUCAGCACGCCGCGGUGAUACGUUCCCGGG
rnacentral:rRNA from 1 species